rnacentral:piRNA from 1 species
UGCCACUGCGCCCAAACAUAACUGAAGGUU